ACCACACUUGGGACCCAUGUAGGUAAUAGGCAAGCACCCAGCCAAAGAAACAGUUCCCUUUUAAAGGUAAACUGCUAAAGCAACGACAGAACUCUCCCAUGUAAAUGGUGCGCUUAGUACAUAUAUCCCAAUAAGAGAAAGUGGUGAAUCCUAGCAUGAAUGUAUGCAGAUAUGAUGAUGCAGCUAAAGAAGAAAGAAUGAUGCAUGCCAAGGGCAAGAG